rnacentral:rRNA from 1 species
CAGCCGCCACGGGAAUACGAAGGGGGAUAGCGUUGCUCGGAAUUACUGGGCGUAAAGGGAGCGUAGGCGGACACUUAAGUCAGGGGUGAAAUCCCGGGGCUCAACCUCGGAAUUGCCUUUGAUACUGGGUGUCUUGAGUAUGAGAGAGGUAUGUGGAACUCCGAGUGUAGAGGUGAAAUUCGUAGAUAUUCGGAAGAACACCAGUGGCGAAGGCGACAUACUGGCUCAUUACUGACGCUGAGGCUCGAAAGCGUGGGGAGCAAACAGGAUUAGAUACCCGAGUAGUCCCUGUCUCUUAUAC